GACCUAAUGGCGAAAUUGGCAUCGCGUCCACUGCACUUAGACUUGCACAAGCAUAUGCCGAGUCAAAGUGCAAGUCCCUUGUUCAAACCGAGGUUAGGUUG